UCCCUGGUGGUCCAGUGGUUAAGACACCACACUUUCAAGGCAGGGGCACGGGUUCAAUCCCUGGUCAGGGAA
rfam:Ovis aries breed Texel chromosome 6, whole genome shotgun sequence.